GAGUGUACGAGUGCUGAAUUUUUGAGCACAUGGUUGAUGUUGAUUUUUGUAAAGUCUUGGUGACAGAAAUGGGUUUACGAGCUUCUUGGCAAACUUCACGAGGUGAAAUUGCAGUGCCGUACAUUAAUCUUACAAUAUGGCUCCAAUUGAGUGACAUGUAAAUGUCAUAAUUCCAACAGUGACUGGUAAUGGGAUGGAAUUUGAGUGGCAUUUUGGUGUGUGACAUCAGCAAUCGUGAUGCUAUUCAAGAAGGUGGCAAUGCCAGAACUUAAAUGGGCCGAAUUUACUUAGUCCAGUUGCGUUUUGUUUUCCAUUGGAGCAAAUCUUAAGGGCACUAGUGGUGGGCACACUAACGUGAUUUAGUUUCUAUUAGUUUAGGAUUUUUUUUGUUGCAAGGCAUUCAGGCUACAAGGGUAUCCUGAUUUAACUUUUGCAAUGGCUCAACCACGGUUAACCACAAGAUGGUUGGAGGACUACGUUGGGGGUUUUGUUUUUUUCAAUUGUUCGUUCUUGUUCUUCUUGUUUUUUUUUAUUUUUCUUUUUGUUUUUUCUUUUGAGUAUUGCUUUAAUUA